UUAGCACAAUUAAACACUUAUUUAUAACAUCAAUUUCAUAAUCGCUAAGCCUCCUAACUUAAGAGAAUGAUGAGUAUCCAUGAUACUUUAAUAUAUACUCUACAUUGCUUAAUCAAUCUUCCAUGAUCUCCAAUUCGUCCGCUUAAUCAAGCUUGGAACUUCAUAAAACAUUUGCUUAUUUCCAUAAAACAAAAAUACAUUAAAAAUUAAGAUUAAUUGCUUUAAAGCUUUCUCUUAAUAUUUCUUAACAAAUAUCAAGCUAAAAGAGGUGUAGGAAGCCAUUUCUUACCUUAUUGUAACUUUCUCACUCUAGCUUCAAAUUCUCUCUUUAAGCUUCAUAAACCUUAAGUUGAGAAUGAUGAGAUUAAUGGUAGAAAUGAGUUAAGGAGAUUGUUUGUUAAGAGAUUUUAACAAAAUUUGAAAGUGAAAGGUAAAAAUUUUGAAAGAAAGUGAAAUAAUCAACAAGGAAAUGGAGAGGAAAAACGGUAGCCAUGGGGUCAUUUGGC
rnacentral:lncRNA from 1 species